GAUGAAGAACGCAGCGAAAUGCGAUAAGUAGUGUGAAUUGCAGAAUUCAGUGAAUCAUCGAAUCUUUGAACGCACAUUGCGCCCUGUGGUAUUCCGCAGGGCAUGCCUGUUCGAGCGUCAUUGACACCCUCAAGCUCUGCUUGGUCUUGGGCGUUUGUGCCUGCCGUUGCGCAGGGACUCGCCUCAAACUCAUUGGCAGCCUGCCUUCGCCGGUCUUUGCACAGCACAGUCGUGCCAAAGCCGCGGUGAGCAGGCGCUCCACAAGCCCUUUUCAGCUUGACCUCGGAUCAGGUAGGAAUACCCGCUGAACUUAAGCAUAUCAAUAAGCGGAGGA
rnacentral:misc_RNA from 1 species